GAUGAACGCUGGCGGCGUGCUUAACACAUGCAAGUCGAACGGAAAGGCCCAAGCUUGCUUGGGUACUCGAGUGGCGAACGGGUGAGUAACACGUGGGUGAUCUGCCCUGCACUUCGGGAUAAGCCUGGGAAACUGGGUCUAAUACCGGAUAGGACGAUGGUUUGGAUGCCAUUGUGGAAAGUUUUUUCGGUGUGGGAUGAGCUCGCGGCCUAUCAGCUUGUUGGUGGGGUAAUGGCCUACCAAGGCGUCGACGGGUAGCCGGCCUGAGAGGGUGUACGGCCACAUUGGGACUGAGAUACGGCCCAGACUCCUACGGGAGGCAGCAGUGGGGAAUAUUGCACAAUGGGCGCAGGCCUGAUGCAGCGACGCCGCGUGGGGGAUGACGGCCUUCGGGUUGUAAACUCCUUUCGCUAGGGACGAAGUGUUUUUGUGACGGUACCUGGAGAAGAAGCACCGGCUAACUACGUG
rnacentral:rRNA from 1 species